GUAACGCGUGAGUAACCUGCCUUCAAGAGGGGGAUAACGUUCUGAAAAGAACGCUAAUACCGCAUGAGACUACAGAGCUGCAUGGCUCAAUGGUCAAAGGAGCAAUCCGCUGAAAGAUGGACUCGCGUCCGAUUAGAUAGUAGGCGGGGUAACGGCCCACCUAGUCGACGAUCGGUAGCCGGACUGAGAGGUUGAACGGCCACAUUGGGACUGAGACACGGCCCAGACUCCUACGGGAGGCAGCAUG
rnacentral:rRNA from 1 species